rnacentral:rRNA from 1 species
AUUGAACGCUGGCGGCAGGCCUAACACAUGCAAGUCGAGCGGAGCGGCGGACGGGUGAGUAAUGCCUAGGAAUCUGCCUGGUGUGGGGGGUAACCUUCGGGAACGGGCGCUAAACCCCCAUCUUAUCAAAUGACCCUAGGUCGGAUUAGCUAGUUGGGGGGGUAAAGGCCUACAAAGGCGACGAUCCGUAACUGGUCUGAGAGGAUGAUCAGUCACACUGGAACUGAGACACGGUCCAGACUCCUACGGGAGGCAGCAGUGGGGAAUAUUGGACAAUGGGCGAAAGCCUGAUCCAGCCAUGCCGCGUGUGUGAAGAAGGUCUUCGGAUUGUAAAGCACUUUAAGUUGGGAGGUGUUACCAACAGAAUAAGCACCGGCUAACUUCGUGCCAGCCGCCGCGGUAAUAC